CUGGGAGGACCAUCUCCUAAGGCUAAAUACUCUCUAGUGACCGAUAGUGAACCAGUACCGUGAGGGAAAGGUGAAAAGCACCCCGGAAGGGGAGUGAAAUAGAACCUGAAACCGUGUGCUUACAAGUAGUCAGAGCCCGUUAAUGGGUGAUGGCGUGCCUUUUGUAGAAUGAACCGGCGAGUUACGAUUUGAUGCAAGGUUAAGCAGUAAAUGUGGAGCCGUAGCGAAAGCGAGUCUGAAUAGGGCGUUUAGUAUUUGGUCGUAGACCCGAAACCAGGUGAUCUACCCUUGGUCAGGUUGAAGUUCAGGUAACACUGAAUGGAGGACCGAACCGACUUACGUUGAAAAGUGAGCGGAUGAACUGAGGGUAGCGGAGAAAUUCCAAUCGAACCUGGAGAUAGCUGGUUCUCUCCGAAAUAGCUUUAGGGCUAGCCUCAAGUGAUGAUUAUUGGAGGUAGAGCACUGUUUGGACGAGGGGCCCCUCUCGGGUUACCGAAUUCAGACAAACUCCGAAUGCCAAUUAAUUUAACUUGGGAGUCAGAACAUGGGUGAUAAGGUCCGUGUUCGAAAGGGAAACAGCCCAGACCACCAGCUAAGGUCCCAAAAUAUAUGUUAAGUGGAAAAGGAUGUGGCGUUGCCCAGACAACUAGGAUGUUGGCUUAGAAGCAGCCAUCAUUUAAAGAGUGCGUAAUAGCUCACUAGUCGAGUGACACUGCGCCGAAAAUGUACCGGGGCUAAACAUAUUACCGAAGCUGUGGAUUGUCCUUUGGACAAUGGUAGGAGAGCGUUCUAAGGGCGUUG
rnacentral:rRNA from 1 species